rnacentral:tRNA from 1 species
GCAACCUAUCUUUGUGGUAGAAUUCAUCGUUGCCAUCGAUGAGGCCCGUGUUCGAUUCACGGAUGAUGCA